AUGAAUACGGCAGGAGGUAUUGUUGCACAGUGUAACUAAAUAUACAGUUAUUGCACAGCUUAAGUCUAAUAUAAAAUUCUUAAAUCAACAAUAGUCAGUGAUUGUUUAUGCAUCAUAUAUACAGUGUUUCUACUGUCAGGCACUGACUCAAUGUUUACAAUUCUGAAGUGUUCUGUAAAAAUUUCAUAAAAAAUGGAGUGGCAAAAAUUUUCAGCCCCCACCCGUGGACUGUUUGAGCUGCUGCUGUCUGGCAAGUGGUGCUGCAGCCUCAAGUCUCUGAUCAUCAUGCUUUGGGACAGUUUUUCCGCAAGACAACCAGGCUCAAGAAUGCUGGACACUAACCUCCUAAUGCCUGUCUGCCUGUUGGUGUGAAAGGACUCUUGAAUCUUGUGUGCUGAUAUAUCCUCUUUUGGCUUGGCUUUUAAGGACAUGGUCCUUUUUGUCUGUUUGAAAUGCUGCCCUGACAGUGUUUUUCUGUUAUCGUAUAUAUUGACCAUAGACUAUAUUGACACAUGUCCACUUUAAAAACGUUGAAGCAUUAAGACACAAAAUCAAUCUAUAUUCAACAAAAUUCAAGGCCCUCACUGCAGUGAAAUCAUUAGGCCUCGGUUGAUGGGAACAAACAGCCACACUAUGAAUAAAGCUUUAAAAUAGGGUGCUAUAUAUUUUUAAUUUACAAUAGGUGAGCAAUGUGUGAAAGACUAGGAAUUUAUUCUGGGGCUCAACAGUUCAACCAAGGCUCUUGUAGCAUAAACUUGAGCUUUGGUAAACUAGGGGUGAAGGAAUUGUAGACAUUAAAAUGGUUGAAACAUUACACAACCGUGUAAACAAACAUCGUAAUUGUUUUUCUAGUCUCUGUGCUUUAGAUAUCACUAAAGGUAAUUUAAUAUAUUUACCCACCCGGCACAUGACCUACCUUCAAUGUUGAAAUUUGAUUGAAAUAAUGUCAGUUGUUGUUUCAACAUUGAAAUAACGUUUAAUGCUACAUGGUUGAAAAGGUUAACAAAAACACUUCUAAAUCAACGUUGAAUGAAAACAUUACGUUGUUUCAACAUACAGAUCUUGUUAAAAAAAAUCAACAUUGAUUUAGAAGUGUUUCUGCCUUUUAACGUAUUAUUAUGAUAAUUAAUUAGCAUUUAAUGAGUUUUGGAUCAUAACAGCUCUUCAAUGUAUAUGUUAAAAUAUAAUUAUUAUCAUUAUUAACAAUAAUAGUUUCACCCUCAAGAAAGCAGUGCAGCAGAAACCGUUUGCCUCAUGUGAUUUUGUGUGAAUUUACAAUUUUUCUGCUUGCCUAACUGUUUACAUUGCAUUAUUACAUUUUUAUUCAUACACUGUCAUGUCAUUUGACCAAUUAAUUAAAUAAUAAUACAGACUGCAGUCUGCAAAUAAAACUUAAUACACAGCUAUGUUAACUCGCGCAAACUAUUGCUAUUGAUAUUGGUUGUUUCGCCGUUUUACUUUGAGCAUGAUUGGUUAAUCUGUCUGUUUUCCAGGAAACCGUCCAAUGAGAAUGUGCGCGGCUCUGCGCGCCCAGAGCGGCUCUGUGCGCGCCUAUUUUUAAAUUUGAAAAUAUGUCCGUUACUCUAGGUUGGAGCAGCUGCUUUGCGUUGAUGACUCGGUCAGACCUGGAUUAUUUUAUAUCUGCCUGUUGAAUUCUUACAUUUUGAGCGAAUUUUAGUUGAUAUGUCAAUGAAGAACAAAAGCUGGAAUGUGAACAGAGGAAGGGGUUGUUCGUGAUCUGUAAAUACUGGCGAUAUCAGAUCAAGCAUUGGAAUAAGAUUUUUAUCGGGGGAGAACACCCAACAGAAAGAUGUGAUGUGAAAGAAAUGAUUCACCAACUGGCGCACUGAAACGGGAGAUUCAUGUCACCUUCAUCAGUUCUUUCUUUAAUCCCUCAGAUAACAGGAUAAAUGGGGCUGCAGGUUUUGACAGAUUGGACUAGUUAACUUACUUCAACAACUUCUGGCAAGCUUAACAGUAACGUUAGGGCCAUUUUCUGGAAGAGAAACCCACUUGGACAGUUUGACAAGGAUCAAGAGACCAAGGACCAGGUGGUGAAGGCUGAACCAACAGACCAGACACCUCUCCCACAGCCAGCCUCUGAACCUGCUCUACAGUCUGAAUAGCCCGGGUGAAGUUAAACUCUCCUUUGCUGGUGACCCAGAUGGCUGAGAACAUGUUAGGCUGGUACCCUGGAAGCUAAGAGGAAAGUGGCAAAGGAGUUCGCAGGCGAGACUGAUGAUUGCAGAGGAGCUGAAACCCACAGAGAACAUGGGUCUUAAUGAACACAAGAUCAAGGCCUGGUGAGAGCCACUACAGAGGAUCAUAGCCAUCAUUGGAAUUCUGAAAGGACGUGGGUGAAUAUCAAUCUGCCAAAUGAACAUUCACAUCUGUAUAUUAUUAAUAAUGAUUAUAUAUGAACUUGUUUGUUUGUUACUGGAAAGAACUUAGCUUCUAUUGCUUUUGACUGAAGGACUUGACCGUGUUUUAAGCCUAUGUGCAUUUUCUAGAUGUUGAGCAUGAACAGUACUUUAAAACAAUGAUUUACUGGGUGACUUUUAUGGCGUUUUUCCAUUACCAGUACCAGUUUUGGUCGUGCUCCAUUUUCCAUUGCAGAUCAUACCCAGAGAUAGUACCCCUCGAUGCAGAUGGUCGUCAUAGCAAGGCCACACACAACUGCCGCGACGUAAUGUUCAAUGCGACACACACACCUGCGACCCACAUACAGCUGUCUCUUGAUUUAAGUUAAAACCUUUCAGCAUUACUCAGAAUGUAAAGACAGGUACUUAAAGGUGCUCUAAGCGAUGCCGGGAGUCGUAACUUCUUGUUGACGUUCGAAUUAUUGUCAAACAAAACGGAGGCUAGCUAGAUCCUCUCUCCUCCUCCUCGCACUAAUCCCCCAAAACCCACCCCCAAAUCUUUCUUGUCACUUAUUGGCUGGAACAGUUUGUUAUGUUUCGUGGUGCGGGUGAGCCCAGUUUGUUUUUCUUGUUGUUUGUGGAGCCUGUGGUGUCUAGAGAGACCGCGUUUUUUUACAGUGUGUUCAGGGGACAGGCAGCUAGCGGAUAGUGAGGAGAUGUUUGCUGGAUGUGACAAAAAAUUUUUGGCCUAAAAAACGUGUGACAUCAUUUAGAGCACCUUUAAUUAAUAUAACAUUUAAUUUAACUAAAACAAAUAUCAAAAACAUGUCUAAUACUUCAUCAACACGUCAUACUCCUGGAAAAGACCCACAUAAAGCUAAUAUUUUAAAAUGAUUAAUAUCCACAUCACUGCUGUAUUUUUCAGAUGUAAGAUCAAAUUUAUGGGAACAAGCCUGCAUCCCAAUGUGCACACUAUCCAUCCUAAAUAGUAUAUAAGAAAAUACAGUAUAUAUUUUUUGUACAAUAGUUGUUUUUACAGAACAUCUCUGCAGUGAAUGUUUUUGUUUAAAUAAUUCCAAGGAUAUGAAGUAGAUUGAUUAUUAUUUUAACGUUAUUGCAUUGCAUUUCUACGUAGGCCGAUUUUUGAUGGCUUUUUUUAUUCCCAUGCGAGUGAUGUACCGUUUUUACACACUUAUCUCAUUAAAAGGGGAAAAGUCUGUCCAUCUUAAUUUCUGAAAAUGUGUAACAUUUGAGACCCCAGCUCGGUCACAUUCAUAUUUCAUUAAUGUUAAUUACAUAACUUGCAGUUCAGAAAGGAUUUACUGUGCAUUCACACCAGACGCGGCUUGUGCGAAUAAAGGCCAAUUUAUACUUCUGCGUCGGGUGCGCGUAGUAGGUACGGCGUAGCAUACGCAUUGACGUGUACCAUACGUCGUACCCUUCACCGUACCCUGACGCACACCUCCUCAAAAAUGUAACUACCCGUCGCGAUGACGCGGACUGCAAGAUCUGUGAUUGGUCGGCUUGGUAGUAUCACGUUUCCUCCUACGCAUUUCCGGAAUGAUCUUCCGCACUCUGGACCGCCCGCCAUUUUUUUAUUCCGAAAUUCAGUGAAGAGCCAACAUGGAAAUGGACCAAGUGACCGAGCGAUUAUUGAAGAAGUGAGGAAAUACAGCCAUCUGAAUGACUCCUCUUCGGGAGAUUACAAAGACUGCCAGAUGGCAGCGAAUUCAGUCGCCAUUGUUCGUAGAAGCCCGCGAGGAUCGAGUAAUGUAAACACAGUGGAACCCGCCUCUUGUCAACUAACGUUUCGGCGGUGUAACUGCAGAGCAAAACAGACAUAUGCAGAAGUAUAAAUGCUCACGACGGCGUCGCCUACAUGCGUAGCCUACGACAUACACUACGGCGUAUACUUGAUGCAGAAGUAUAAAUUGAUAUUAAGGGCCGUUUAAUAGUCAACGCAUCUGUAUGCAUACGCGUCCCCAAGGCUACAUAUUGUUACGCUUCGGCUGCCAUUAUGCGUCGGUGCGUAGCCAAAUGUGUCGUCCUAGUUUUUGAUACGCGACGCGCCGAUGCACGCAAUACUAUGCGUUGUCGGUGUGGGCGACAUUGCAAGUAUUGUACAUUAAUUCAAGUAUAUUAUGUUUACAGAAGAAGAAAGUUUGAAUACAAUGGCUGUUGAAGAGGAAAAAUUAUGCGAGCUUAUACGUAUAACAUACCACCGCCUAUCUCUGCGCUGCCUUUGUUGCCGCCAAUGUAAAAUCAGCAAUAAAAUGCACUCCUCUUCAGUUGUCAUUGUGAUCUGAAUAUCACGUGACCCGACUCUACCAAUAUCACCCGACUCUACUACCCCGUAGCGUGAGCGGUGUAUUGCAUACGCGCAUCGGCCGUGACACUUGUGUCCACUGUUUAGACUAUGAAAGGGAGCGAGUCGCUCGCAUUGCUUGCUUGCGUUGACUAUGUAACGGCCCUAUAUCGUGCUAUUCGCGCGUAGUUGGACGCUUGAACAUUUUUAGUUUAGACACUUCAUUCGCGUGUGAAAUGAACUUCACAACAGAUGCGAAUUCACGUCAUGGGGGGGGCUUCUGCCGGUUGAGUUCACGCAGCAUUUUCAACCACCAUUUUAUUUGGAUAAUUUUCAAAAUAUUACUGUUAUCGUGUCAUGAAAUGUAGUUUU